CAUAUCAUCAUCUCUAUUCAGGUCUUAGUUCUCCAGGGAUCUUUGACAAAAAACAUGGCUGCAUGAUUGAGAUAUCUUUGACAUGUGUCAGUUGCAAAGUUCAGUGAAAGUGAAUGGUGUCCGCUGACCUAUAGCCCCUCAAACUGUGUCACCAAAUGGACCAAUAAAAUGUGUCGCAUUAUACUACGUCGGAUUUCCAUGGAAUCGCAAGCAUUGUGCAUAGUGGACUCAGAUGGACAUUGACAGCUCUGACAUGAAGAAGUCUGUGGAUCAAGCAGGAUUUGCGUUUUGCAC